rnacentral:lncRNA from 1 species
CUAAUCAGCCAGUGAGCCUUGGAGAAUGUUAAUUCAUGUGCAGCUUUCCCCUCGGGACCUCAGCUCACAGGGCUUUCAUGGAAAGUUCUCAGGGUACUCCAUGGAUUGAACUCAGCAGAAGCCUGGGAGCAGUGGGGUGUGCAAUGCAAUUCUGGGUCAGCUUCCUCCGGCAGAAGGCAAGACAGGGAAGAAGCUGGGAAAACGACACAGGCCAGGUGUGCUGGCCUAUACUUUUAACUCACUACUUCGGAGACUGAGACAGGAGGAUCUCCGUGAGUUCGGGGCCAGACUGGUCUACAGAGACGAUGGAGACAGGUGAAGCAGAGCAGACUGACACCGAGAAGGGCUCCGAAAUUUGAAAU